rnacentral:rRNA from 1 species
AGUGUAGGCGGCUAUUUAAGUCGGAUGUGAAAGCCCCGGGCUCAACCUGGGAAUUGCAUCCGAAACUGAAUAGCUAGAGUUUGGUAGAGGUAAGUGGAAUUCCGGGUGUAGCGGUGAAAUGCGUAGAUAUCCGGGGAACAUCAGUGGCGAAGGCGGCUUACUGGACCAAAACUGACGCUGAGGCUCGAAAGCGUGGGGAGCAAACAGGAUUAGAUACCCUGGUAGUCC